AAGCUGGAUUCGCUAGUAAUCGCGCAUCAGCCACGGCGCGGUGAAUACGUUCCCGGGCCUUGUACACACCGCCCGUCAAGCCAUGGAAGCCGGGAGUGCCUGAAGUGCGUGACCGCAAGGAGCGUCCUAAGGCAAUACCGGUGACUGGGGCUAAGUCGUAACAAGGUAGC
rnacentral:rRNA from 1 species